GUUACAUUUUCCUUCACUCGUGUGCGUGUCAUUGAUCUUUCUCACAAUCACUUCAGUGGAUACUUACCGACGAAUUUUUUUGAAAAUUUGCAAGCCAUAAGGGAAAGGUGUGAAAAGAAAGUUAAGCCAGAGUACAUGAUGGAUGCAUCGGCUGAUGGAGUGGUGUAUUAUAUUCAAAAUCUUACUUUUACAAUAAAAGGGUUGGAAACAGAAUUUCAGGCACUAUUAACCACUUGGAUGGUGAUUGACUUUUCGAACAAUCAAUUCGUUGGGGAAAUUCCUAAUUCACUUGGUGAACUUCAUUCACUUAUAGUCCUCAACCUCUCUCACAAUAGUUUAACAGGUCCUAUCCCAUCAUCUUUCGGUGAUUUGUCAGAGCUUGAAUCAUUGGAUCUUUCAUCGAACAAGCUCGAAGGAGAAAUUCCAGCACAACUAAAAAAUCUUGUAUUUUUAGAGGUGCUGAACUUUUCUCAUAAUUAUCUUAUCGGACCUAUUCCUCAAGGCAAUCAAUUUGAUACUUUUGAAAAUGAUUCUUACAAUGGGAAUUUGGGUUUAUGUGGAUUCCCAUUGUCAAGGAGUUGCAGUAAUGAUAGGAAAUUGAAGCCAACACCGACAACAAGAGCAUUAAGUUGGAAAUUUGCAAUGCUGAUGGGUUAUGGAUGUGGAUUGGUGUUCGGAUUGAGCAUGGGAUACAUUGUAUUCACAACUGGAAAACCAUGGUGGUUCAUCAGGAUGAUUGAGAGAGGUCAACAAAAAUAUAUUAGAGUGAAAAAAAUCCGAUAAUGGAGAAAGAAAAUAGAACAAACUAUGCUCCUAUAGGUAAGGGAGUUGAUGAAAACAAAGGACAUUUUUCAAGCCUAAAGUGGGACGAAUCUAGGGGCGGACAAAGACCUCACCUCCUUAAUUAAAGAAAUCAUGGUUGUAAUCUUUAUUACAAUGUUUACAUAUCUUUAGAAAGUAAGAAUAGUUAAACGCGAAAUCAAUUUUGUAUUAUAGUGAUUUAACUUUCUUUAAUUUUUUUUUCUGUUACUAAAAUUAACCUUCUAUACUUUAUUUCUUUACUUUGUCUGACUUCGUUGUCCCUUUGUGUUGAUAUGAUAGUCCAUUUCUAAAUAAAUUCCAAUUUGUUA